UACAGAGGUCUCAAGCGUUGUUCGGAUUCAUUGGGCGUAAAGGGAGCGUAGGCGGGUUCUUAAGUAAGGUGUUUAAUCCCGGGGCCCAACCCCGGACCGGCACUUUAAACUGGGAAUCUUGAAUAGUGGAGAGGUCGGUGGAAUUGGGGGUGUAGCGGUGGAAUGCGCAGAUAUCAGGAGGAACACCGGUGGCGAAGGCGGGAUCCUGGGCCAGUACUGACGCUGAGGAGCGAAAGCGUGGGGAGCAAACAGG
rnacentral:rRNA from 1 species